GGGUCAGUAGGUUGGUCGUGCCACCGGUACGUACUGGUCUCACUGAUUCCUCCUUCCUGAAGAACUGUAAUGCCAUUAAUUUGGUGUUGCGGGGAAACAGGACUGUUACUUUGAAAAAAUUAGAGUGUUUAAAGCAAGCUAACGCUUGAAUACACUAGCAUGGAAUAAUGAAAUAGGACGAUCGAUCCUAUUUUGUUGGUUUCUAGGAUUGACGUA
rnacentral:rRNA from 1 species